CCGACCGGGGAAGGGGUGCAGGCUCAGCCGCUGAUGGACUCUCUCUGUCAUCUAUAGCCGUCUCUGUAAUGGGUUUGCGUGCCCAUAGUAAUGCUGGAAAUGCAAGUGUCCUUGUUGUGGGAGGUGCAGGGGGAGGGGCCCGCCGCCUCAAAGUGGCCUAUCAGAGCCACGGGAACGUGGGCGUGGCCCUAUGCAGCCAGCAAACACUGUUAGGGCGUGGCGGACUGACCGGAGGCCUCCAUUUUGAAUUCCGCGCUGCAGAUGUAGUGCCUGACAACAUUUGCCUUCCCCAAGGUUACUGGUGAAGAGCGCAGGUGGGGAGGCGGACUGCCAGCCCCCCCCCCCAACAGCCUGUAGGGAGCUGCCUCUGGGGAGCCCCGAGUGGGGGGGGAAUGAACAUUUGGGUCAUGUCACAGCCUUGUGUGCAACUUUUUGCAGGCCGCCUGGCCAACUGUGCCACUUUAACCCCAAGUCCUUGUCUGUCAGGGCAGUGCUGAUUGUAAUUUCAGUCUGUAUGCUGCCCCCCCCAUCGAGAAUUAAUGGCGUCGUCUGACAAGCGUAUGUGCACAGACUCCCAGAUGACUAUCCCAGCUUGACGGGGGGGGGGGGGGGGCAUCUGCCACGUACAGACAUGGGCGACUUUGGUUACAUUAUAUCAACGGCUCUACUGAAUUAUCAUUUGAACACUUAAUAUUUCAGUCUGAAAAAGGGAUAUCUGAAUUACCAUGCGAGGUACGGAGCGAAGAGGAAAGCUAAAAGGAUUUGCCCUCAAGAGUUUGAAUAUGCAUUGAGUUUUGUGACAGGUAAUGAGUGUGUUUCUUUAUCUGGCAGAAGCGCGGCGCGGCGGGAGUGAGGGGCAGCUGGCGAGCCCUGAUCAGUGAAGUGUGUCAGGCUGUCGCGGAGGAAGCGGCCUUUGACAGCGCCUCGGUACUUAGCCUGCGCUAAACGGCGCUCGCAGCUUUUCUUUGCAAACGUCUGCCUCUUUGCACGUGUCAUUUCAGACGUCGCUGUCACGGUUGUGGCUGAGUCUUAUAUUCAAGGCAGUUCUGUCACAAGAUGCGUGAUGCUAUCCAGCGACUUAGCUAAAAAUUCCCCUGACAAAAUGUUGCCUUGCCCCUCACCCCCCCCCAAAUUAUAUAAUCAUAUAUAUAAUUAUAUAGUUUUACGUAUUCAAGGGCCCCUGUAAAGUGUUGGCUCCCUGAAUCUGCCAGGGUAUCCAUGUCCCUGAUGUAGGGUUAUCAUAUAACAAGAUGAAAAAGAGGAAACUCUGUCUCUCACCUGGCUCAUGUCACUUGUCGAUGUCACAAGUUGACAUCACUCGUGAGCAGUGUGAGACGUAUGGGUGAACAUAUCACUUAAUUUUUAAUGUAACUGUGUGCACGAGCCUUGCAAACACUGAGUGAUGAUACUGACUGGCUGCUGUACAUUGAAAAUUGGUGCCUUUUCCUUCACUUGGUACUCGACUGUAACUUGCCACACUGGUUCAUACGGGCUACAGUGCUAAACCUAAACAAACCGCCCGGACACCCGGACCCAGGCCAGAAGAGACCCAGGAAACCGGGACAUAUGGUAACCCUACCCUGAUGCUACCGUCCUACCAGUAAUGAUAAAUUUUGCCAGCUGAUCUGUCCCAGCUGGAAUACUGUAAACCAGAUCAAACUGGGGAGAACAGCUUGAAUAUGGCUGGAUACACUUGCUAUGCUAAUGUUGGGUAACAAUAAUAUGAUCAUAUUAGCAUUCUGACAUUAAUAAAAUCUCCAUCUUCCAGCCACUUAUUAAGUAGAGUGUCACAAUGAGCCUGGUGGGUAACCCAGGUAGCACAGGUCAGUUCCCAGCCAAUCAAGGAACCUGGUGGCUAACCCAGGUAGCACAGGUCAGUUCCCAGCCAAUCAAGGAACCUCCCCCCGAGGACUGGGUUGGGAAACACUGGCAUAAGUCAUGGACAGGAUGCAGCCUGCAUGGGAUGUCAUUCAAAACUAGCAAAUUAAAAUAAAUUGAUUAUAAUAAAACACACAGUAAACAGGACUGACACUCAUUGUUCAGUUCUUGGAGCCAGUCUCGAGUCACCAAGCAGGGAAACAAAACAGGUCCGUGUUAAAAUCUAAAUUAGACUUUAAAUUGUGUGAAGGUGCCCCCCCCCCCUUGCCAGCUGUGGCCAGCUGCUGCAGGACCACACUGCGCUCCGUCCUAUCAGGGCUGCGGGGAUGCUCAGAUGUGUCACGCUGGGCCCGGGGAAAAAAAAAAAAAAAGAGUUUGCAAAAUGUGGGCCAGCUGAGGCGUCCAUUGUUUGCUGAGCCCCCGGAAACAUCCCGCGUUAAUCUCAAUGUUACACGCCGAUAGCCGCUGAUGCGUCACACUCCCGCAGGUAGGUGGUUUUUAAUAUAAAAGCUCACUGGCGAAUUGAAAUAUUGUCAGAGGUGAAUGCACAUUCACUCCGCCCACAAAGGGAAAUAGGUGCAACAUUAAAAUGUCCUUGUGUGGCCGGAGUGUCAUUUAUUUCCACAUUCGGGAACCAAAGAAAACCGCAUUACCUCCGUUUGCAUGCCUGAUGAGUUUCCUGCAUCCACAGCAUAUGGCAAUUUUGCCUGCUUAUUCAUAGCAUAUAGUUUAUGAGAGUAAUUCAGGGUAAACACCCUUUUACGGUUUUCUUGGAAGUAAGCAAGGAGCCUAGCUAAUGGGUAUGAAUACAGAGCAAUAAAUAUUUUUUUAACCUCA